CUUAACAUGCAGUCGAACGGAGGAUGCGGGGAAGCUUGCUUUCCUGCAAACUUAGUGGCGGACGGGUGAGUAACGCGUGGAUAACCUGCCUGUAAGACUGGGAUAACACUGGGAAACCGGUGCUAAUACCGGAUGUGCUGUAGAGUGGGCAUCCACAUUACAGUGAAGGGACUUAGUACUCGCUUACAGAUGGAUCCGCGUCCCAUUAGCUAGCUGGUAGGGUAACGGCCUACCAGGGCGACGAUGGGUAGCCGGCCUGAGAGGGUGGUCGGCCACACUGGGACUGAGACACGGCCCAGACUCCUACGGGAGGCAGCAGUGGGGAAUCUUGCGCAAUGGGCGAAAGCCUGACGCAGCGACGCCGCGUGGGUGACGAAGGCCUUCGGGUCGUAAAACCCUGUUGCAGGGGACGAAGGAAGUGACGGUACCCUGCCAGAAAGCCCCGGCUAACUACGUGCCAGCAGCCGCGGUAAAACGUAGGGGGCGAGCGUUGUCCGGAAUUACUGGGCGUAAAGGGCUCGUAGGCGGUAUUCCAAGUCAGUUGUGAAAACCGACGGCUUAACCGGAGGAUUGCAGUUGAUACUGGGGUACUUGAGGCAAGGAGAGGAAGGUGGAGUUCCCGGUGUAGCGGUGAUAUGCGUAGAGAUCGGGAGGAACACCAGUGGCGAAGGCGGCCUUCUGGCCUUGACCUGACGCUGAGGAGCGAAAGCCAGGGUAGCAAACGGGAUUAGAUACCCCGG
rnacentral:rRNA from 1 species